rnacentral:rRNA from 1 species
GAGUGGCGAAAGGGUGAGUAACGCGUGAGUAAUCUGCCUCUAAGUUCGGGAUAACCCCGCGAAAGUGGAGCUAAUACCGGAUGUGGUAUCCUGUCGCAUGGCAGGGUUACUAAAGGUGGGGAUCCUUCGGGACCUGCCGCUUGGAGAGGAGCUCGCGUCCCAUCAGCUUGUUGGUAGGGUAACGGCCUACCAAGGCAUACGGGUAGCCGGCCUGAGAGGGUGAUCGGCCACACUGGGACUGAGACACUGCCCAGACUCCUACGGGAGGCUGCAGUCGAGGAUCAUUCGCAAUGCGCGAAAGCGUGACGAUGCGACGCUGCGUGGAGGAUGACGGCCUUAGGGUUGUAAACUCCUGUCAUGAGGGAACAGCCGGCAAAGGGUUAAUACCCCUUCGCUCCGAUGGUACCUCAAGAGGAAGCCACGGCUAACUCUGUGCCAGCAGCCGCGGUAAUACAGAGGUGGCGAGCGUUGUUCGGAUUUACUGGGCGUAAAGGGUGCGUAGGUGGUUCUGUGUGUCGGAUGUGAAAGCCCGGGGCUCAACUCCGGAAUUGCAUUCGAAACUGCAGGACUAGAGUACAGGAUGGGAGAGCGGAAUUCUUGGUGUAGCGGUGAAAUGCGUUGAUAUCAAGAAGAACACCGGUGGCGAAGGCGGCUCUCUGGAAUGUUACUGACACUGAGGCACGAAAGCUGGGGGGGCAAACAGGAUUAGAUACCCUGGUAGUCCCAGCCGUAAACGGUGUGCACUUGGUGUUGGCGGUAUUGACCCCGCCAGUGCCGGAGCUAACGCGUUAAGUGCACCGCCUGGGGAGUACGGCCGCAAGGUUAAAACUCAAAGAAAUUGACGGGGGCCCGCACAAGCGGAGGAGCAUGUGGCUUAAUUCGAUGCAACGCGAAGAACCUUACCUGGGUUUGACAUCGGAGAGGCUUGCCUCUAGCGCGUGAAAGCGCGUUAACCUGACAGGUGCUGCAUGGCUGUCGUCAGUUCGUGCCGUGAGGUGUUGGGUUAAGUCCCGCAACGGACGCAACCCUUGUGUUUAGGUGCCACCCCCGAGCCAUCCGGGCGCAAUUUUAACCGGCCGGCCGGAACAACCGGAAGAAAGUUGGGAAUAACGUCAAGUCCGUAUGGCCCUAACACCCAGGGCUGCACACGUGCUACAAUGGCCGGUACAGAGGGCUGCGAGACCGCGAGGUUCAGCAAAUCCCUUAAAGCUGGCCCCAGUUCGGAUUGCAGUCUGCAACUCGACUGCAUGAAGUUGGAUUCGCUAGUAACGGCGUAUCAGCUACGACGCCGUGAAUACGUUCCCGGGCCUUGUACACACCGCCCGUCACAUCAUGGAAGUCGUCUGCACCCGAAGUCACUGAGC